GUAAUGUCUGGGAAACUGCCUGAUGGAGGGGGAUAACUACUGGAAACGGUGGCUAAUACCGCAUAACGUCGCAAGACCAAAGAGGGGGACCUUCGGGCCUCUUGCCAUCAGAUGUGCCCAGAUGGGAUUAGCUAGUUGGUGAGGUAACGGCUCACCAAGGCGACGAUCCCUAGCUGGUCUGAGAGGAUGACCAGCCACACUGGAACUGAGACACGGUCCAGACUCCUACGGGAGGCAGCAGUGGGGAAUAUUGCACAAUGGGCGCAAGCCUGAUGCAGCCAUGCCGCGUGUAUGAAGAAGGCCUUCGGGUUGUAAAGUACUUUCAGCGGGGAGGAAGGUGUUGUGGUUAAUAACCGCAGCAAUUGACGUUACCCGCAGAAGAAGCACCGGCUAACUCCGUGCCAGCAGCCGCGGUAAUACGGAGGGUGCAAGCGUUAAUCGGAAUUACUGGGCGUAAAGCGCACGCAGGCGGUCUGUCAAGUCGGAUGUGAAAUCCCCGGGCUCAACCUGGGAACUGCAUUCGAAACUGGCAGGCUUGAGUCUUGUAGAGGGGGGUAGAAUUCCAGGUGUAGCGGUGAAAUGCGUAGAGAUCUGGAGGAAUACCGGUGGCGAAGGCGGCCCCCUGGACAAAGACUGACGCUCAGGUGCGAAAGCGUGGGGAGCAAACAGGAUUAGAUACCCUGGUAGUCCACGCCGUAAACGAUGUCUACUUGGAGGUUGUGCCCUUGAGGCGUGGCUUCCGGAGCUAACGCGUUAAGUAGACCGCCUGGGGAGUACGGCCGCAAGGUUAAAACUCAAAUGAAUUGACGGGGGCCCGCACAAGCGGUGGAGCAUGUGGUUUAAUUCGAUGCAACGCGAAGAACCUUACCUGGUCUUGACAUCCACGGAAGUUUUCAGAGAUGAGAAUGUGCCUUCGGGAACCGUGAGACAGGUGCUGCAUGGCUGUCGUCAGCUCGUGUUGUGA
rnacentral:rRNA from 2 species